UUGAACGCUGGCGGAAUGCUUUACACAUGCAAGUCGAGCGGCAGCGCGGGGGCAACCCUGGCGGCGAGCGGCGAACGGGUGAGUAAUGUAUCGGAACGUACCCUGUCGUGGGGGAUAACACAGCGAAAGCUGUGCUAAUACCGCAUACGACCUGAGGGUGAAAGCGGGGGAUCGCAAGACCUCGCGCGAUAGGAGCGGCCGAUAUCGGAUUAGCUUGUUGGUGAGGUAAAGGCUCACCAAGGCGACGAUCCGUAGCUGGUCUGAGAGGACGACCAGCCACACUGGAACUGAGACACGGUCCAGACUCCUACGGGAGGCAGCAGUGGGGAAUUUUGGACAAUGGGCGCAAGCCUGAUCCAGCAAUGCCGCGUGAGUGAAGAAGGCCUUCGGGUUGUAAAGCUCUUUUGUCAGGGAAGAAACGGUGAGGGCUAAUAUCCUUUGCUAAUGACGGUACCUGAAGAAUAAGCACCGGCUAACUACGU
rnacentral:rRNA from 1 species